GAUGUCGGCUCAUCCUAUCACUGAGAGGCAGAAGUCUCAAAGUGUUGGACUGUUCAUCCGCCAAUGGGGAGCGUGAGCUGGGACUAGACCUUCGUGAGACAGGUU
rnacentral:ncRNA from 1 species